UACGGCGGGAGCUAGCGUUGUUCGGAAUUACUGGGCGUAAAGGGCUUGUAGGUGGCCAACUAAGUCAGACGUGAAAUCCCUCGGCUUAACCGGGGAACUGCGUCUGAUACUGGAUGGCUUGAGUGUGGGAGAGGGAUGCGGAAUUCCAGGUGUAGCGGUGAAAUGCGUAGAUAUCUGGAGGAACACCGGUGGCGAAGGCGGCAUCCUGGACCAUUACUGACACUGAAAAGCGAAAGCCAGGGGAGCAAACGGG
rnacentral:rRNA from 1 species